rnacentral:tRNA from 1 species
GCCUGGGUGGCUCAGUGGUUGAGCUUCUGUCUUCGGCUCAGGGCAUGAUCCCAGUCCUGGGAUCAAGUCCCACUUUGGGCU